AUUGAACGCUGGCGGCAGGCCUAACACAUGCAAGUCGAACGAGUGGCGGACGGGUGAGUAAUGUCUGGGAAACUGCCUGAUGUAGGGGGAUAACUACUGGAAACGGUAGCAAAUACAGCAUACCAUCAGAUGUGCCCAGAUUGGAUUAGCUAGUUGCUGGGGUAACGGCUCACCAAGGCGACGAUCCCUACCGGGUCUGCGAGGAUGACCAGCCACACUGGAACGGAGCCACUGUCCAGACUCCUACGGGAGGCAGCAGUGGGGAAUAGUGCACAAUGGGCGCAAGCCUGAUGCAGCCAUGCCGCGUGUAUGAAGAAGGCCUUCGGGUUGUAAAGUACUUUCGGCGGGGAGGCGUUACCCGCAGAAGAAGCACCGGCUAACUCCGUGCCAGCAGCCGCGGUAAUUC
rnacentral:rRNA from 1 species